rnacentral:rRNA from 1 species
UACGUAGGGUGCAAGCGUUGUCCGGAAUUAUUGGGCGUAAAGAGCUCGUAGGCGGUCUGUCGCGUCGGAUGUGAAAACCCGGGGCUUAACCCCGGGCCUGCAUUCGAUACGGGCAGACUCGAGUGUGGUAGGGGAGACUGAAACUCCUGGUGUAGCGGUGAAAUGCGCAGAUAUCAGGAAGAACACCGGUGGCGAAGGCGGGUCUCUGGGCCACUACUGACGCUGAGGAGCGAAAGCGUGGGGAGCGAACAGG